CCAGCACCUGCUACACUUAAGACCCCAACGGCUCCAGCACAGCAACCCACCACCGCGAUGAGGGACACAGUGCCUUCGGCGCGAGAACUCCUAGUACUGGGAAUCGCACACCUAGGGCACGGGCGGGGUCUGGAGGUGGGCCAUUACCGUCCAUCACUCACACUAUGGAGGUUCGCGGCUGUUGGCAAGAAGGACCCCAAACCCUUUCCGUGAGCCCUAACCAAACGAUCCAGGGACGAAAGAAGUUCGUGGCGAUGACCUCGAGAAUGGAACGCGAGACUUUGUCCACGAUGGACUCUAACUUCCUCCUCAUUGUGUCCUCUGCACGGAGUUGGGGCGGGGGAGGGCAGAGCAUUGACCGAACCAGCUUGUUGAGCCCGUGGGUCUCAGCAGGAGAGAUGCCCCCCUCACUAAAAAUCAUUUAGUUAAAUCAAGUUUACGGACUUUUUUCCAAUAUAUUUAUUUUUAACCAAAUCUUAGGAAGUCUACUUGUUAAACUAUCUAGAAAAACUUAACUGUAAAUUACAGGAAAUUAUUAGCACAAAGGCCUAAAAUGAAUGCAGCAAACGACAAAAUAAACAUUAGAGCUAUGAGAACGCUUAA